AUUGAACGCUGGCGGCAUGCCUUACACAUGCAAGUCGAACGGCAGCACGGGGCAACCUGGUGGCGAGUGGCGAACGGGUGAGUAAUGCAUCGGAACGUACCUUUCAGUGGGGGAUAACGUAGCGAAAGUUACGCUAAUAUCGCAUAUUCUGUGAGCAGGAAAGCAGGGGAUCGCAAGACCUUGCGCUGAUUGAGCGGCCGAUGUCAGAUUAGCUAGUUGGUGAGUUAAAGGCUCACCAAGGCGACGAUCUGUAGCGGGUCUGAGAGGAUGAUCCGCCACACUGGAACUGAGACACGGUCCAGACUCCUACGGGAGGCAGCAGUGGGGAAUUUUGGACAAUGGGGGCAACCCUGAUCCAGCCAUGCCGCGUGGGUGAAGAAGGCCUUCGGGUUGUAAAGCUCUUUCGGCCGGGAAGAAAUCGCACGGGCUAAUACCCUGUGUGGAUGACGGUACCGGAAUAAGAAGCACCGGCUAACUACGUGCCAGCAGCCGCUGUAAAAC
rnacentral:rRNA from 1 species